rnacentral:rRNA from 1 species
GGUUCGAUCAGGCUCAGAUUGAACGCUGGCGGGAUGCUUUACACAUGCAAGUCGUGAACGGCAGCACAUUGGCGAGGUGAACGGGGUGAGUAAUGUAUCGGAACGUGCCUAGUAGCGGGGGAUAACUACGCGAAAAAGCGUAGCCAAUACCGCAUACCGCCCUUCGGGGAAAGCGGGGACCUCUGCACUGAGCGGCUGACAUCGAUUAAAGAAGGUGGUGGCUCACCAAGGCGACGAUCCGUAGCUGGCUUGAGAGGACGACCAGCCACACUGGGACUGAGACACGGCCCAGACUCCUACGUGAGGCAGCAGUGGGGAAUUUUGGACAAUGGGAAACCUGAUCCAGCCAUCCGCGUAAGCAUGAAGGCCUUCGGUAAAAGCACCCUUGGCAGGAGAAACGGCACGGAUAAUACCCUGUGCACCGACGGUACCUGCAGAAUAAGCACCGGCUAACUACGUGCCAGCAGCCGUGGUAAUACGUAGGGUGCAAGCGUUAAUCGAAUUACUGGGCGCAAAGCGCAGGCGUUCGGAAAGAAAGGUGAAAUCCCAGAGCUUAACUUGGAACUGCAUUUUUAACUACCGAGUCGAAAGAGCAGGUUGAGGGAGGUGGAAUUCGCGUGGUGCAGUGAAAUGCGUAGAUAUGCGGAGGAACACCAGACAGUGAAUAGCCUCCGGGAUAAGACGCUCAUGACCGAAAGCGUGGGAGCAACAGGAUUAGAUACCCUGGUAGUCCACGCCCUAAACGAUGUCAAUCAGCUGUUUGGGACUCAGCCCGGUAGCGCAGCUAACGCGGUGAAGUUGACCGCCUGGGGAGUACGGUCGCAAGAUUAAAACUCAAAGGAAUUGACUGGGACCCGCAUGUAGCGCAUGGAUGAGGAUUAAUUCGAUGCAAAGGAAAACCUUACCUACCCUUACGUUCAACUCGAAGAGAUUUGGGAGUGCCGGCAAGAGAACCGGAACACAGGUGCUGCAUGGCUGUCGUCAGCUGUGUCGUGAGAUGUUGGGUUAAGUCCCAACGAGCGCAACCCUAUUAGUUGCUACGAAAGGGCACUCUAAUGAGACUGCCGGUGACAAACCGGAGGAAGGUGGGGAUGACGUCAAGUCCUCAUGGCCCUUAUGCAGGGCUUCACACGUCACACAAUGGUCGGGACAGAGGGUCGCCAACCCGCGAGGGAGCUAACGAAACCCGAUCGUAGUCCGGAUCGCAGUCUGCAACUCGACUGCGUGAAGUCAGAAAUCGUUAUAAUCGCGGAUGUCGUGGUAAUGUUCCCGGUCUUGUACACACCGCCCGGGUCACAUGGAGUGGGUUUUACCAGAAGUAGUUAGCUCAACCGUAAGUGAGGGCGAUUACCACAGGAUUCAUGACCGCGAAGUCAAAAUAAGGUAA